rnacentral:lncRNA from 1 species
GCACUCGCGGCGAGGCACCGUCCCACUCCCCGCCCCCGGGAUGCAGGGCGCGCGCGGCUAUUCGGCAGCUCAAGCCCCGCCCCCACCGUCUCCAUUCUCUGCUCACCCCUCUCCCAGGACACUGCGCAGGCGACACGACGCCCCGCCUGACGCCCCGCCUUUCUCCCCGCCCUGCCGCGCCCCAGGGACGCAGCGCGCACAGGGACGCAGCGCGCACGCAACCGCGUUUCCGGCGCUACCUGGCUGCUGUGCCCCGCAGCUUGUGGCGCUUGUGGACCGCGUGGGCCUGCGGGAGAUCGGUGCGGCUCCUUGGGGAAUUCUUGUUCUCUUUUCUGGACUGAGAAGAGAAGAAUGGAGAAGAGCCCCUUCCCAUUGUGAGUGGACAGUAAAUGGGUAUGGAGUAGCCAGAAGCUUCUGGAAACCAGAGUUCCUUUCCUCAGCUGAAAAGAACCCUAAGAGUAGACUGCCUGGGAUUGCGUGGGGGAUGGGAGGAUCACUGGACCUGUGGGCCAGAGA